rnacentral:rRNA from 1 species
CGAGCGGCGGACGGGCUGAGUAACGCGUGGGAACAUACCCUAAAGUGAGGGAUAACUACUCGAAAGAGUGGCUAAUACCGCAUAUGAUCUUCGGAUUAAAGCAUUUAUGCGCUUUAGGAAUGGCCUGCGUACGAUUAGAUAGUUGGUGAGGUAAAGGCUCACCAAGUCGACGAUCGUUAGAUGGUUUGAGAGGAUGAUCAUCCAGACUGGGACUGAGACACGGCCCAGACUCCUACGGGAGGCAGCAG